rnacentral:lncRNA from 1 species
CCUCACUGGGCUUACACAGAGCAGGGAGCUGUCUUUGGGGAACUGAGGUCGUGCACUAACUGCAUGUGUUGUUACACAGGAGCAGGGAGUUGAGAUGGACCAGCACCGAGUUCAAGACCAUCCAGCAGCCAAUGGCUGAAACCUCUCAGGAGCUCUAGUCACCUCAAAUAUCUGCAAACACUAUGGUCAGUGGGACCAAUGGGUCCUGAACUUCCCAGGAGGUGCCAGUGCCUGGACAAUUGGACAAACACACACUCAGGCUUUCUCUUGGAGCCCAGGAUGUCCCCAGAAGCUGCUGAAAACUGAAGCUUACAUCCCAGAGGAACCCAGAAAGGAAAGGAAUCUCAUCUUGAGGAUGCCUUGCAGUACAAUGCCCUUCAGCCAAAGCCCUAGAAGGAACCUGAAAUACACCACUGGGGACCCUCAUACUGUCCCUGUGGACUCAUGCACUGGGACUAUGCCCUGCAUGCCUAGGCACUUUGAAGUCUUGGCUGUGGUGAUC